AUUGAACGCUGGCGGCAGGCCUAACACAUGCAAGUCGAGCGGAGCGGCGGACGGGGGAGUAAUGCCUAGGGAUCUGCCUGGUAGUGGGGGGUAACGUCCGGGAACGGGCGCUAAUACCGCAUACUAACAGAUGAGCCUAGGUCGGAUUAGCUUGAGGUUGGGUUAAUGGCCUACCAAGGCGACGAUCCGUAACUGGGCUGCGAGGAUGAUCAGUCACACUGGAACUGAGAAACGGCCCGGACUCCUACGGGAGGCAGCAGUGGGGAAUAUUGGACAAUGGGCGAAAGCCUGAUCCAGCCAUGCCGCGUGUGUGAAGAAGGUCUUCGGAUUGUAAAGCACUUUAAGUUGGGAGGCGUUACCAACAGAAAAAGCACCGGCUAACUUCGUGCCAGCAGCCGCGGUAAUAC
rnacentral:rRNA from 1 species